CUACUAUUUAGAAGCGGGAGUUGGGGCUCUUCGUCGUCCUGCUUCCUGAUUUACAAUUAGGUCCCUACUUUUGAUCCAAAAGCAGGGGUAUUUUUGUCACUCUGCUCACUUUGUACUUUCUGCAACGCCUUUUCCCUUCGCACUCUCUUCAAUACGCGCUUUCUCAUCCUCUAUCGACGUGGAAGACGAAUCGAUUCUUGCUUCUGCUGCUGUCAGCUGUUCUUCCAGAUGGGUAACACCUGCUCUUGGAUGGAUAUCCGAUUAGGGGUGACUGCCAAUAAAAUCUACAAUACCUUCUGUUCUAUUUGGGUUUUCUUUUCCUUUUUUUGGUUCAUGGUUUACUACUCUGUUCCUUUUGGUGUCUCUGCUUGCUAGGUGAAACAAGUCAGUACUUCUUGCUUCCUUCUCUAUCUCCUCCUUUAGAGUUCUGUGUACUGCAAUAUGUUACUUAAGAGUUAUUAGCUACAACGUUCAUCUCUUGUAGCCUUUUUUUCCCUAUGACCAUGUUCAAAGAAAGGAGCUGUAAUUUAUUCUUUAAUCAAUAAACUUGUGGAGAUUUGUAUUCACUUAAAGCUAGGCACACAGCUGCUCGUUCUGCUACUUCUCGCGU